CUACGGGCGGCACCAGUGGGGAAUAUUGCACAAUGGAGGGAACUCUGAUGCAGCAACGCCGCGUGGAGGAUGACGCAUUUCGGUGUGUAAACUCCUUUUAUAUAGGAAGAUAAUGACGGUACUAUAUGAAUAAACACCGGCUAACUCCGUGCCAGCAGCCGCGGUAAUACGGAGGGUGCAAGCGUUACUCGGAAUCACUGGGCGUAAAGCGCAUGCAGGCGGUUAAAUAAGUUGGAAGUGAAAUCCUAUGGCUCAACCAUAGAACUGCUUCCAAAACUGUUUAGCUAGAGUCUGGGAGGGGAAGAUGGAAUUAGUAGUGUAGGGGUAAAAUCCGUAGAGAUUACUAGGAAUACCAAAAGCGAAGGCGAUCUUCUGGAACAGUACUGACGCUGAGAUGCGAAAGCGUGGGGAGCAAACAGGAUUAGAUACCCUCGUAGUC
rnacentral:rRNA from 1 species